GGGUGGGUGGCUCAGUGGUUAGAGCCUAGGGCUCGUAACCGAAAGGUAGCGAGUUCGAACCUUUUUCUGGUUU
rnacentral:tRNA from 1 species